AAAUUAAAUAAAUUGAAUGUGCCUCCUUCAUGUGUUAUAUAGUAGGUUUAUAUAUAUACGUACACUGUGCAGUAGUAGUAGGCUUAGAUUAGAGGUGUAAUAGAUGAGAGACCAGGGAAAUUCAGGUGAAAUUUAUACAUUUUUUUAUUAAUGUGUCACAGGCUCAGAACUAAAUUCAGCAUUGGGAUGGAAUAGGUAAGGAAAUGAAAAAAAGUUAAAAUACAUUACUUAUACAUAUUGGCAUUUUUCACAUUCAGUGAUUAUUGAUGAAAAAAAAAAUAAAAAGAAGAGGAGAAGGGAAGAAAACAAGGGCAUGCAGAUACUGUGGCAUGAACUACUAAAGCAAAAGCAGUUGCAGCCUUCAGAAACUAAGCUCUGUUCUCUCCAGCCUCCACCUACCUUCUCCUGCAAGUCCAUUUUCGCUCUAUCUGCUACAAGCUAAGAAAGAAGAUAGGAGGUUUAAGCAAAAAUCAACACCAUACAAGCAUGAAUUUAUUUUCUGCAAAUUCACACGGAUCCAGGCCCACUAUAAAUUACCACUGAUGAGCCCUACACUGCCUCCAAGACCCACUACAGCACUCUUCCAACCCCAAGGCUGAAGGGAGUAGCUGGAGAACUCAGGCAAAGAUGCAAGAAGCCAAGUAUCUAAGGCAGAGACUAGUGUGAGGCCACUGACAGGAAUUUCUCAGCUCCUGCUGUCCUCCUCAGUUUCUGCUGUGAAACCUUUGACGGUUCUGAUCAGAGAGUAAAGUGAGAAAUGCUCAGGUAGGACCUUUCUGAUCAAAUAAACUCAAGGUGUAUCAGGACA
rnacentral:lncRNA from 1 species